GUGCUCACUUUGGCAGCACAUAUACUAAAAUUGGAACAAUACAGAGAAGAUUAGCAUGGUCCCUGUGUAAGGAUGACACACAAAUUUGUGAAGGGUUACAUAUUUUU
ensembl:snRNA U6 U6 spliceosomal RNA